rnacentral:piRNA from 1 species
GCAGACUGAAAGAUGCUUCUCAGAGCUGC